UAAUAGCGUAUAUUAAAGUUGUUGCGGUUAAAAAGCUCGUAGUUGUAUUUUGGGGCCGGACAAGCGAUCGGCUUCGGUCGAAUUGCUCUUUCGGCUCCUUCCUUCUGUGGACUGCGUCACUCUUUACUGAGGGGCGUUUGGACGCAGAUCGUUUACUGUGAAAAAAUUAGAGUGUUCAAAGCAGGCCAUACGCUUGAAUACAUUAGCAUGGAAUAAUGGAAUAGGACGUCGGACCUAUUUUGUUGGUUCUAGGACCGUCGUAAUGAUUAAUAGGGACAGUUGGGGCCGUUCAUAUUCCGUAGUCAGAGGUGAAAUUCUUGGAUUUACGGAAGAUGAACUACUGCGAAAGCAUUCGGCAAGGAUGUUUUCGUUAA
rnacentral:rRNA from 1 species